AUACGUAGGGUGCAAGCGUUAAUCGGAAUUACUGGGCGUAAAGCGUGCGCAGGCGGUUUUGUAAGACAGUGGUGAAAUCCCCGGGCUCAACCUGGGAACUGCCAUUGUGACUGCAAGGCUGGAGUGCGGCAGAGGGGGAUGGAAUUCCGCGUGUAGCAGUGAAAUGCGUAGAUAUGCGGAGGAACACCGAUGGCGAAGGCAAUCCCCUGGGCCUGCACUGACGCUCAUGCACGAAAGCGUGGGGAGCAAACAGGAUUAGAUACCCUGGUAGUCCACGCCCUAAACGAUGUCAACUGGUUGUUGGGAAUUUAUUUUCUCAGUAACGAAGCUAACGCGUGAAGUUGACCGCCUGGGGAGUACGGCCGCAAGGUUAAAACUCAAAUGAAUUGACGGGG
rnacentral:rRNA from 1 species